GUCCACUGAACCUUAUCAUUUAGAGGAAGGAGAAGGCGUAACAAGGUUUCCGUAGGUGAACCUGCGGAAGGAUCAUUGACACACGUCCGUGCAAACCGUUGAACCGUUUCCUUGUCCCCCUGAGGGGCCACACCUGGAGGUGUGGCUGCUCGCGCCAUGGCUCCCCUAAACUCGGUUACCUUGCGAGGCACCAAGGGGUGGCGUCGGGCGGGGCUCCUUGCCGGUGCCGUCCAUACGCUCGGGUGCGCGUGGAUUGGGCAAGUGUUCCCCUCCUCCCGUGCCUCUCGGGGCUCGGGUGCCAUUUGCAUUGCGUUUCGGGAACCUUAUGUGUCUUGGAUGGUGAGCGACUCUGGAUUGGGGGGGUCUUCCCGGCCGCCCCGCACCGGAUAGCGAAAUGAUGGAUAGUACCACUCUCAGCAACGGAUAUCUUGGCUCUUGCCACGAUGAAGAACGCAGCGAAAUGCGAUACGUGAUGUGAAUUGCAGAACUCCGUGAAUCAUUGAAUCUUUGAACGCAACUUGCGCCCGGGGCUUGUCCGAGGGCAUGUCUGGCUGAGCGUCUAAUCGUCCCUCUCGCUCGCACUGAAUGCGAAGCGCAAAUUGGCCGUCCAUGGCAAGCACGUGGUCGGCUGGAGUGCAUAGGGAGGACGCCGCACUCUAAAUGCGUCGCGUGACUGGCGGGGUUGGUUCGGGUUAUCGUUUGCUUCCGGCUGCGGCUGGUCCUAGGCGGUUCCCCCCCACCUGCCAACAUGUUGCUCGUCGCUAAGGUGUCGGCUGGUUCCCUUGUGUGGCCACUACCCAAGAGACCUCAGAUCAGGCAAGGCUACCCGCUGAGUUUAAGCAUAUCAAUAAGCGGAGGA
rnacentral:rRNA from 1 species